GUGCCAGGGAGGGAGGUUUAACAAGUACGUGUUUAGCCGUCUCUGUUUACAAGGACGAAGGGUAGCUCUAGUACUGAAUAGAUUUAAUAACUUGCGGGUUUACAAGUGGAAAAAAUACAGGCGUCCGCUUAGGUUUGGGAAACGUCAGUCACCACCAACAACAGACUUUCUCAAGACUACACUCACCCGGACGAUCACAUUUCACACCAACUAGUUCUAAUUCCACCGACAAUAAAAUAGAAGAAAACAGCGAAACAAAUGCUGCUGAAUCAAGGACAACGAGAAAAGAGAACAGACAAAGAGCCAGAUUGCGAAGAAGAAAGAAAAAUGCUAAUCAUCGGUCUGCUCUUGAGCAACAGCGAAGCGACAUGAAAAAAUACUUUCAUGAACCGUUAAGCAAAGAUGCAAGAGCAGCAAGUGAAUACAAUGAACAUUUUAGCAGGGGAACUGAAAACCGCAAAAAGUAACUAAUUUGAAUAUGUCGACGUGCUUUAUUUCGCUCCAAUCAGUAACAUGAUUAAGAACUGGUCUAUAUUGAAUUGAGUAAAAACUUAUAAUGAAA